rnacentral:rRNA from 1 species
AGCAGUCGCCGCGGGAAUACGGAGGGUGCAAGCGUUAAUCGGAAUUACUGGGCGUAAAGCGCACGCAGGCGGUCUGACAAGUCAGAUGUGAAAUCCCCGGGCUUAACCUGGGAACUGCAUUUGAAACUGUCAGGCUGGAGUCUUGUAGAGGGGGGUGGAAUUCCAGGUGUAGCGGUGAAAUGCGUAGAGAUCUGGAGGAAUACCGGUGGCGAAGGCGGCCCCCUGGACAAAGACUGACGCUCAGGUGCGAAAGCGUGGGGAGCAAACAGGAUUAGAUACCCCGGUAGUCCCUGUCUCUUAUAA